rnacentral:rRNA from 1 species
UCAAAGAUUUAUCGCUUAGAGAUGGACUCGCGUCCGAUUAGUUAGUUGGUGAGGCAACGGCUCACCAAGACCGCGAUCGGUAGCCGGACUGAGAGGUUGAACGGCCACAUUGGGACUGAGACACGGCCCAGACUCCUACGGGAGGCAGCAGUGGGGGAUAUUGCGCAAUGGGGGAAACCCUGACGCAGCAACGCCGCGUGAAGGAUGAAGGUCUUCGGAUUGUAAACUUCUUUUAUUAAGGACGAAUAAAGUGACGGUACUUAAUGAAUAAGCUCCGGCUAACUACGUGCCAGCAGCCGCGGUAAUACGUAGGGAGCAAGCGUUGUCCGGAUUUACUGGGUGUAAAGGGUGCGUAGGCGGCUUUGCAAGUCAGAUGUGAAAUCUAUGGGCUCAACCCAUAGCCUGCAUUUGAAACUGCAGAGCUUGAGUGAAGUAGAGGCAGGCGGAAUUCCCCGUGUAGCGGUGAAAUGCGUAGAGAUGGGGAGGAACACCAGUGGCGAAGGCGGCCUGCUGGGCUUUAACUGACGCUGAGGCACGAAAGCGUGGGUAGCAAACAGGAUUAGAUACCCUGGUAGUCCACGCUGUAAACGAUGAUAACUAGGUGUGGGGGGUCUGACCCCUUCCGUGCC